rnacentral:rRNA from 1 species
GUAGGUGGCAAGCGUUGUCCGGAACUAUUGGGCGUAAAGCGCGCGCAGGCGGUCCUUUAAGUCUGAUGUGAAAGCCCACGGCUCAACCGUGGAGGGUCAUUGGAAACUGGGGGACUUGAGUACAGAAGAGGAAAGCGGAAUUCCACGUGUAGCGGUGAAAUGCGUAGAGAUGUGGAGGAACACCAGUGGCGAAGGCGGCUUUCUGGUCUGUAACUGACGCUGAGGCGCGAAAGCGUGGGGAGCAAACAGGGAUUAGAUACCCUGGUAGUCCACGCCGUAAACGAUGAGUGCUAAGUGUUAGAGGGUUUUCCGCCCCUUUAGUGCUGCAGCUAACGCAUUAAGCACUCCGCCUGGGGAUACGGCCGCAAGGCUG